ensembl:lncRNA
GGAAAAAAAAAGAAAAGUUACAGUGGAUCUCUCAGCUAUUUGCUUGCUCUCCUGUACUCUUUUGUUUAGUGAAAUUUACAGCCUAGUGGAUGAGUUAUUUGUAACCCUAAAUGAUUUCACAAUAUACAAUAUAUUCAAAGUCAUGAAUCAACAGAGAAGAACAUAGAGGAUGUAUUUCUCUUCCAGAUGUUUAGAGUCGGCAGAGAUUUUCUGUGGCAAUUUUAAUAACUGAUGCUAACUAAGCAAAACAGUGUACAAACAAGUUAAAUCCUUGUCCACUUAGAGAUUAUAGUCUAAGAGGCAUUAUGGAAAUCAGUUGUAAAGACAGUUUGACAGGUCAAUAAAUACUAAAUUAGUAAAUGAGUUGUCCACUUAAGGGGAAAAGUGUUUGAUAGCUCUGUAAAUACAAAGUAUUAAGAGAAUUGAUCUCCUGAAGACUUAUGGGUUAAGGAUCUGGCAUUGCCGUGAGCUGUGUGGUGUAGGCUGACAGCUGUAGCUCUGAUUCAACCCCUAGCCUGAGAACUUCCAUGUGCCUCAUGUGUGGCCCUAAAGAGACCUAAAAAGACAAAAACAAAAAGAGUCUAUUUUGUUGCAUUUUAAUAUCAAUACACCAAGAUUCUUCAGCUUAGUUUUUGCCUCGUGUGUCUUUUCUUGUUCUUGUCCUUUAUGCUUCAGGUGUGUUUCUUAUAAACAGCUAUUCUAGAUUGUUUUGAUGUCAGUUCAGCCAGGCUGGGAACUGUUUUCCCAGUUUGCCUUUCUAGGUCAGGGUCGGCAGGUAGAUGUGAAGGAGUGGCCUUUACUUUGAAUUUGUAAGUAGGGUGACAAAUAACUGCAGCUGAUGCCCAACGGAGUCCAACCUGUGUGCUUUGUGUGCUUCUUCCAGCUCUUCCUCCUGAAUGCUGCUCCAGGCAGGCCUCUGCUGCUUGGCUGUGGACUCACAGAGUUGGUAGCCGCACAGGAGCAAUGACUUCCCAUAGGACACUCCACAAAUUCCUGUUGUGUCCCCACUUUGCAGAUGAAUGGGAUAUUCUUUCUCAUUUUUUCCCCUACAAUUUUUUCUUCCUUCCUUCCUUCCUCUCUUUCCUUUUCUUUCAUCUUUCUAGGGCCGCACCUGCAGCACACGGAGGUUUCCAGUCUAGGAGCCGCAGCCAUGGCCCACACCACAGCAACUAGGGGACCCCAGCCGUGUCUGUGUCAUACACCACAGCUCACGGCAACACCGGAUCCUUAACUCUCUGAGCAAGGCCAGGGAUUAAACCUGGGUCCUCGUGGAUCCUAGUUGGGAUGGUUAACUGCUAAGCCAGGAAGGGAACUCCCCCCUAUAAUUUUCUUCAACAGUCAUGAAAAAUGACUUAGGAGCAGGAGUCAUUAUUUUUAUUUUCUAUUUCCCCUUUCUGGAUACUCAGGUCUCUACCUCCUCCCACAGCUGUAUCAGGCCUACUUUUAAUAUAAAUCCCUUGUCCCAUAACUCAGCAGUUCUGCUUCCCUGACUGAACCCUGACUAGCAAUACUGUGUAGCUACAUUUAAAAAUAUAGUUUGAUGGAGUUCCCGUCGUGGCGCAGUGGUUAACAAAUCCGACUAGGAACCAUGAGGUUGCGGGUUCAAUCCCUGGCCUUGCUCAGUGGGUUAAAGAUACGGCGUUGCCAUGAGCUGUGGUGGAGGUUGCAGACUCGGCUCGGAUCCCGAGUUGCUGUGGCUGUGGUGUAGGCCAGCAGCUACAGCUCCAAUUGGACCCCCAGCCUGGGAACCUCCAUAUGCCGCAGGAGCGGCUCUAGAAAAG